rnacentral:rRNA from 1 species
CAGUAGCGUAUAUUAAAGUUGUUGCAGUUAAAAAGCUCGUAGUUGGAUUCCUGUUCUUGGGAUCUGGUCCGCCUCACGGUGAGCACUGGAUAACUGGGGACAUCCUCUCGAAGGCGGCAGGUGCACUUGAUUGUGUGUUUGUUGAAUUCGGGACCUUUACUUUGAAAAAAUUAGAGUGUUCAAAGCAGGCGUCGGCUUGAAUACAUUAGCAUGGAAUAAUGGAAUAGGACUUUGGUUCUAUUUUGUUGGUUUCUAGGACCGAAGUAAUGAUUAAUAGGGACAGUUGGGGGCAUUAGUAUUUAAUUGUCAGAGGUGAAAUUCUUGGAUUUAUGAAAGACUAACUACUGCGAAAGCAUUUGCCAAGGAUGUUUUCAUUAA